ensembl:lncRNA
AAUAAAUCAGCCUACCUCUGCGUCGUGGACAAGUCCGGGGAAGGUCGUUGACAUUGUGCUUUCUCCAAAGUAGCCCCCUUUUUUUUUCCUCCGCUGUGUGGCCCGACCGAACAAUAAUAAUAAUAAUAAUAAAAAUGCCUUAAAAUCCUCAAAAAGCGAGAGAAGUGGAAAAGUCCCCCCUUUGCGCGCUCUCGGUAGCGGUGGAAAGCUGGCGGAACGCGAGCGUCUCCCCUCUGCACGGACGGGGCUGGCUCACGGAUUUUGUACUUGCAGGGUAUUUCUCGGCUGAUGUCGUAGGUCCCUUGGUAAUAUAGAAGUUUUGAAAAUUAAGCAUCAGCACUGAGGAAUGGGAGGACAAUAGACGGAGCGGAGCAUCCCAGGAGACAAGGAAUAAAUAUUGUAUCUUCGCCAUAACAAGGAACCAAGUGCUUCUUUCAACAUUUUCUACCCUUUUUGUGGACAUUUUCCCUUUUGAGCCGUUUGUAUUUUCACGAGUUCUUCUGCUCGGUUUCGUCGUGUUAUUUUAUUCUAUUUUAUUUAUUCACAACGGCUGUGUCGUUCUUACAAAAAAAAUAUGGAUUUUCAACGGAAAUUGAGCACAUCCAACCCUCGCUGAGUGGUUCAGGAGAAAAAGAGCAGCAACAAAGGAAACGAGAGGCCACCUGCACAGUCAUCCAUCUCUCAACUUUUAUGAACCCAUUCGGACCUGCAAGGUCUUGGCACCGCGCCACAUGACUUGUGUGCAGCCACUGACAUGACUGACCGCUGUUCAAAUCCACUGGGACCGAAACCACCCUUCAGUUUCAUCGUCCACGUGUCUUUGCUUCUUUAGCAAAACACCAAGCUCCCCCUCUGUUAUGUUAAAAACCUUAUUUUACUUUUGUUGUUUGCAGUCAUAAAAAAGAAGGGGUUUCCCCAAUUUUGCUGUACUUAUCCCGACCAGCAGAGUGCGCCACUUUGGCAGUGCAGCCUGAGGGGAGAUUAACCUGCAGGUCUCUGAGUAAAAGGGAGGACACACACACACACACACAAAUUCAAAAACUCUCUCGCUGUGAAAGAAGUAUACACAUGCAAGGGUGCCGACGCAGGUUCAAUGACUUUGAUCGUGUAAUUCCUGCGUAAUCUCUGUAAUCUUUUAAAGCAGAGCUGUUUAAAUGUAUGUUGCAUGUGCGCAAUUGUGAGUGUGUGUGUGUGUGUGUGUGAGUGAAGAUGUGUGAAAUGUUCACUGGAUUAACAAGAUGAAGCAGAGGCCGGGAAUACAGCUAAAGAGAAAUCUUUAAGAAUCAAACGUUCUUUCAGAUUUCUGCUCAGACCAGCAGGCUGGAGUUGGAGGCUGCGCGUGUUGUGUUUAUGACACAAAGAAAUUCUCAUAUUCAGCUUGUUUAAAGAGUUCAUUCGGUGUCUUAUCCGUGGAGUGGGUGUGAGUUUUAUUUGGCAGCUGAACAGAUAUUUUCUACACUCUGCAGUCUUCACAUCAGGCAGCACACUUUGACCGACCUGUCAUUGUAAUUAUAAGGUUCUAUUGGAUGUAAGUCAGUGAUGAUACUUCUCUUUGUUGCAUGACAACAAUUGAAAAUCACAUGGAUGCGAGCAAAAUAAAUCACGAUCAUGAGAA